UACGGAGGGUGCAAGCGUUGCUCGGAAUUAUUGGGCGUAAAGCGCGCGUAGGCGGUUACUCAAGUCGGAUGUGAAAGCCCUCGGCUUAACUGAGGAAGUGCACCCGAAACUGAGUAGCUAGAGUACUAAAGAGGGUCGCGGAAUUCCCGGUGUAGAGGUGAAAUUCGUAGAUAUCGGGAGGAACACCGGUGGCGAAGGCGGCGACCUGGGUAGAUACUGACGCUGAGGCGCGAAAGCGUGGGGAGCAAACAGG
rnacentral:rRNA from 1 species